AGCGGCGAAAGGGUGCGUAACACGUAGCUACCUGCCUCGAAGUGGGGGAUAUCUCCGAGAAAUCGGAGUUAAUACCGCAUGUGCGCGAGCAAAGCUGCGCUUUGAGAUGGGGCUGCGGCCUAUCAGCUAGUUGGCGGGGUAAAGGCCCACCAAGGCUUAGACGGGUAGCUGGUCUGAGAGGACGACCAGCCACACUGGAACUGAGACACGGUCCAGACACCUACGGGUGGCAGCAGUCGAGGAUUUUUCUCAAUGGGGGAAACCCUGAAGGAGCGACGCCGCGUGGGGGAUGAAGGUCUUCGGAUUGUAAACCCCUGUCAUCCGGGAACAAUGAUAGUACCGGAAGAGGAAGCCGUGGCUAACUCUGUGCCAGCAGACGCGGUAAUACAGAGACGGCAAGCGUUGUUCGGAUUCAUUGGG
rnacentral:rRNA from 1 species